AUUGAACGCUGGCGGCAUGCCUUACACAUGCAAGUCGAACGGCAGCACGGGAGCAAUCCUGGUGGCGAGUGGCGAACGGGUGAGUAAUACAUCGGAACGUGCUCGGUAGUGGGGGAUAACCCGGCGAAAGCCGGACUAAUACCGCAUACGACCUACGGGUGAAAGCAGGGGAUCGCAAGACCUUGCGCUAUCGGAGCGGCCGAUGUCAGAUUAGCUUGUGGCGGGGUAAAGCCCACCAAGGCGACGAUCUGUAGCUGGUCUGAGAGGACGACCAGCCACACUGGGACUGAGACACGGCCCAGACUCCUACGGGAGGCAGCAGUGGGGAAUUUUGGACAAUGGGCGCAAGCCUGAUCCAGCCAUGCCGCGUGCGGGAAGAAGGCC
rnacentral:rRNA from 1 species